rnacentral:rRNA from 1 species
UGAACCUGCGGAAGGAUCAUUACCUAGAGUUUGUGGGCUUUGCCUGCUAUCUCUUACCCAUGUCUUUUGAGUACUUACGUUUCCUCGGUGGGUUCGCCCGCCGAUUGGACAAUUUAAACCCUUUGCAGUUGCAAUCAGCGUCUGAAAAACAUAAUAGUUACAACUUUCAACAACGGAUCUCUUGGUUCUGGCAUCGAUGAAGAACGCAGCGAAAUGCGAUAAGUAGUGUGAAUUGCAGAAUUCAGUGAAUCAUCGAAUCUUUGAACGCACAUUGCGCCCCUUGGUAUUCCAUGGGGCAUGCCUGUUCGAGCGUCAUUUGUACCUUCAAGCAUUGCUUGGUGUUGGGUGUUUGUCUCGCCUUUGCGUGUAGACUCGCCUUAAAACAAUUGGCAGCCGGCGUAUUGAUUUCGGAGCGCAGUACAUCUCGCGCUUUGCACUCAUAACGACGACGUCCAAAAGUACAUUUUAACACUCUUGACCUCGGAUCAGGUAGGGAUACCCGCUGAACUUAAGCAUAUCAAUAAGCGGAGGAA